CAGAAUUUGCAUUUUGAGACUGAAAAUUUUUAGAGUUUUAAUGAAUGUGCCUUGAAGUCCCAUGACUUAAAGUUUUCUUUAAAUUAAAAAUGGGAGUUAUAUCCAGUCCUCCUCCUACUCAAGGUGUCCCUUCAAGCAAUUCUUUUUGGCUGCUUCCAGGCUUGGUUUCAUUUGAGUCAGUGACCUAAGUUUCAACAACCCUUCCCUGGAGGUUCUUCCCAUGCCUUCUAAGAGCUGGCUGUGUGCUCACCUCUCCACGUAAGCUUUGUGGUUUUUCUUCUGCCAUGUGCUGCUGUCUGGAGCAUUCAGUGUUCAUGUAUGUAGAAGUUAUGACCUGCAAUAAUGUUUAUUGUUCUUAAUUUAUUUUCCAGCUUGUUCUUUUGGUCUCUCUUUAGAGCACUGAUAUGAAGGAAAGGCAGUAAAGAGAAGGUAAUAGGGAAUGAAUAGUUUUUCUCUUUUUUCAACAGUAGGAAGGUGCUCAAAGAAAUCUCACCUAAGAAGGAAGGUAUGUGAAUGACUAUGUUCAUUAGAGGUGAAAUAUCCAAAAAAAAAGUUAUGAUCCACAAGUUUUAGGAAGAGAAGAUGAGGAAUUGACCUAAAAUCAGGAGAAGAAGGAAUUGAGGUGAAACUCACGAUUUUUAGAGGAAUUAGACUCUUCAUCGUUGCUCAGUUCAGGUUAUCCAUGCACUUAGUUGUGGAGUCCCACAGUCAGCAGCAGUUUGUAUUCUUGAAAUAUAGUUUUCUCAUUUUUGAUCACAUUUAUUUGAAAUUAUGUCAUUUUAGUGCUUUAGAUGCAGAGGGGACUUCAUCUCCAUCUACGGCAUAGGAUGGCAGCAAUACUUACAAGAAAAAGCCUCACUGGCAGGGAGCAUCAGGUGAAAAUAAAGGACAAUCAGGAGAUUCAGAGAGCUGUCCUAGAAGAUUCACAGUGGCUGAAUGCUUCCUAAGUCUGCAAAUAUGGGAUCAUAAGGCAAUCCAGAACACCCCAUGAAGAGAACUGAAAGCUAUAGAAAAUCUCAGUGAUAAACUGAGGGUGAACUUCACUCUUGAGAAUAGAACUGUUGUUGUGGGGAGGAGCUGGUUGCUGAAGUAUUUUUCACAAGCAUAGGAAGAGAAAGGAUGCUUGCUACAGGAAACGCUUCCAACUCAUUUGUGAUUAGGAUAGAAAGCUGAAACCAGAUUUCCAAUUUUGGAGAAAUAUAGGGAGAGAAAGCUAUGAAUUAAUGAGGUAUUGUUUUUGUUGUAAUAGUGAAUUAACAUGAAGAUAGUACUUAGAAACUCUGCUUUUAACUCCACCUCCCUCAAAGGCCUAAGCAACACUGGAGACAAGCAUACUUAGGAGUAUGUUUUGAAAUUUGUCCAAUGUUGUUUUCCUGUCAGGGAACUGACUUGGAGUAAAAUUAAGCAGGUUUCCAUAUAGAGCAUUUUCUUGGGGAGAGGCAUGUGAAGGGGUUCUUUUCUGUUUGAUAGUAUGGAUUGCUUGUUUUAAUUCUGGUUUAGUUGCCAUUAUAUGAAACUUGAUGCAAGCCAGCAGUGUGUGCUUGCAGUCUCGAAGGCCAACUGUAUUCUGGGCUGCAUCAAAAGAGGAGUGGCCAGCAUGGCAAGGGAGGAGAUUGUUUCCUUCCCCAUGAGGCUCAUCUUUCACAUCUGAAAGGUGUGAAGCUGUUGGAGCAGGCCCAGAGGAGCCCACAAAGACCUCAAAGAUCAGAGGGCUGGAGCACCUCUUCUAUGGAGAAAGGUUGAGGGAGCUGGGCUUGUUCAUCCUGAAGAAGAGAAGGCUCUGGGGAGACCUAACUGUGUCCUUCCAGUACUUGAAGGGAGCUUAUAGAACUUAUAAACAGGAGGGGGACCA
ensembl:lncRNA